rnacentral:tRNA from 1 species
GGGCCUGUAGCUCAGUUUGGUUAGAGCGCCGGUCUUAUAAACUUCCUGCCUUGAAUUCAAAUCUCUUCAGGCCCA